GACGAACGCUGGCGGCGUGCUUAACACAUGCAAGUCGACGACGCUACUGAGUAGCAAUAUUUAGUAGUGGAGUGGCGCAAGGGUGAGUAAUGUAUACGUAACCAACCCACCGGAGACGGAUAACAUUUCGAAAGGGAUGCUAAAACGGCAUGAAGCCACGAUUUCGCAUGAGAUUGUGGUUAAAGAACCGGUAACAGGUUGCCGAUGGCUGGGCGUAUAUCCGAUUAGCUAGUUGGUAGUGUAAUGGACUACCAAGGCGACGAUCGGUAGCUGGUCUGAGAGGAUGAUCAGCCACACUGGCACUGAGACACGGGCCAGACUCCUACGGGAGGCAGCAGUGGGGAAUAUUGGGCAAUGCCCGCAAGGGUGGCCCAGCAACGCCGCGUGGAGGAUGAAGGCCGUAAGGUUGUAAACUCUGACAAGCAGGGAAGAACGGCUAUGGUAAAAGGCCAUAGAAUGACGGUACCUGCCUGAAGCCCCGGCUAACUACGUG
rnacentral:rRNA from 1 species